rfam:Stegodyphus mimosarum contig113541, whole genome shotgun sequence.
GCCUUCGUGGUGUAGCGGUCAGUACACUCGAUGCGUAACCGAGAGGUCCGUGGUUCGAUUCCCGGCGAAAGCG